rnacentral:rRNA from 1 species
GAGUGGCGGACGGGUGAGUAACACGUGGGUAACCUGCCCUAAAGUGGGGGAUAACAUUUGGAAACAGAUGCUAAUACCGCAUAAAACCUAACACCGCAUGGUGUAGGGUUGAAAGAUGGUUUCGGCUAUCACUUUAGGAUGGACCCGCGGUGCAUUAGUUAGUUGGUGAGGUAAAGGCUCACCAAGACCGUGAUGCAUAGCCGACCUGAGAGGGUAAUCGGCCACACUGGGACUGAGACACGGCCCAGACUCCUACGGGAGGCAGCAGUAGGGAAUCUUCCACAAUGGACGAAAGUCUGAUGGAGCAACGCCGCGUGAGUGAAGAAGGUUUUCGGAUCGUAAAACUCUGUUGUUGGAGAAGAAUGUAUCUGAUAGUAACUGAUCAGGUAGUGACGGUAUCCAACCAGAAAGCCACGGCUAACUACGUGCCAGCAGCCGCGGUAAUACGUAGGUGGCAAGCGUUGUCCGGAUUUAUUGGGCGUAAAGCGAGCGCAGGCGGUUUCUUAAGUCUGAUGUGAAAGCCUUCGGCUCAACCGAAGAAGUGCAUCGGAAACUGGGAAACUUGAGUGCAGAAGAGGACAGUGGAACUCCAUGUGUAGCGGUGAAAUGCGUAGAUAUAUGGAAGAACACCAGUGGCGAAGGCGGCUGUCUGGUCUGUAACUGACGCUGAGGCUCGAAAGCAUGGGUAGCAAACAGGAUUAGAUACCCUGGUAGUCCAUGCCGUAAACGAUGAGUGCUAGGUGUUGGAGGGUUUCCGCCCUUCAGUGCCGCAGCUAACGCAUUAAGCACUCCGCCUGGGGAGUACGACCGCAAGGUUGAAACUCAAAGGAAUUGACGGGGCCCCGCACAAGCGGUGGAGCAUGUGGUUUAAUUCGAAGCAACGCGAAGAACCUUACCAGGUCUUGACAUCCUUUGACCACUCUAGAGAUAGAGCUUUCCCUUCGGGGACAAAGUGACAGGUGGUGCAUGGUUGUCGUCAGCUCGUGUCGUGAGAUGUUGGGUUAAGUCCCGCAACGAGCGCAACCCUUAUUACUAGUUGCCAGCAUUUAGUUGGGCACUCUAGUGAGACUGCCGGUGACAAACCGGAGGAAGGUGGGGACGACGUCAAAUCAUCAUGCCCCUUAUGACCUGGGCUACACACGUGCUACAAUGGAUGGUACAACGAGUUGCGAGACCGCGAGGUUUAGCUAAUCUCUUAAAACCAUUCUCAGUUCGGAUUGUAGGCUGCAACUCGCCUACAUGAAGCCGGAAUCGCUAGUAAUCGCGGAUCAGCAUGCCGCGGUGAAUACGUUCCCGGGCCUUGUACACACCGCCCGUCACACCAUGAGAGUUUGUAACACCCAAAGCCGGUGAGGUAACCCUUCGGGGAGCCAGCCGUCUAA